rnacentral:rRNA from 1 species
CAGCCGCCACGGGAAUACGUAGGGUGCAAGCGUUAAUCGGAAUUACUGGGCGUAAAGCGUGCGUAGGUGGUUGUUUAAGUCUGCUGUGAAAGCCCUGGGCUCAACCUGGGAAUUGCAGUGGAUACUGGGCAACUAGAGUAAGGUAGAGGAUAGUGGAAUUUCCGGUGUAGCAGUGAAAUGCGUAGAGAUCGGAAGGAACAUCUGUGGCGAAGGCGACUAUCUGGGCCAUUACUGACACUGAGGCACGAAAGCGUGGGGAGCAAACAGGAUUAGAUACCCGCGUAGUCCCUGUCUCUUAUAC